UGGUCUGGGAUGCUGGCAGCCAGGGUGUUUUUUGCUUUGUUUCUUUGCAGGUGCUGCUGCUGCCUUGGACAUGCCAAGAAAUAGACACAAUCAGGUAUUUUCUGGGCUGCCU